GAUGAACGCUGGCGGCGUGCCUAAUACAUGCGAGUCGAGCGAACAGACGAGGAGCUUGCCCCUCUGACGUUAGCGGCGGACGGGUGAGUAACACGUGGAUAACCUACCUAUAAGACUGGGAUAACUUCGGGAAACCGGAGCUAAUACCGGAUAAUAUAUUGAACCGCAUGGUUCAAUAGUGAAAGACGGUUUUGCUGUCACUUAUAGAUGGAUCCGCGCCGCAUUAGCUAGUUGGUAAGGUAACGGCUUACCAAGGCAACGAUGCGUAGCCGACCUGAGAGGGGGAUCGGCCACACUGGAACUGAGACACGGGCCAGACCCCUACGGGAGGCAGCAGUAGGGAAUCUUCCGCAAUGGGCGAAAGCUUGACGGAGCAACGCCGCGGGAGUGAAGAAGGUCUUGGGAUCGUAAAACUCUGUUAUUAGGGAAGAAAAAAUGUGUAAGUAACUAUGCCCGUCUUGACGGUACCAAAGAAGAAAGCCACGGCUAACUACGG
rnacentral:rRNA from 1 species